CGGUAAUACGUAGGUGGCAAGCGUUGUCCGGGAUUUAUUGGGCGUAAAGCGAGCGCAGGCGGUUUUUUAAGUCUGAUGUGAAAGCUUUCGGCUUAACCGGAGAAGUGCAUCGGAAACUGGGAGACUUGAGUGCAGAAGAGGACAGUGGAACUCCAUGUGUAGCGGUGGAAUGCGUAGAUAUAUGGAAGAACACCAGUGGCGAAGGCGGCUGUCUAGUCUGUAACUGACGCUGAGGCUCGAAAGCAUGGGUAGCGAACAGGAUUAGAUACCCUGGUAGUCCAUGCCGUAAACGAUGAGUGCUAAGUGUUGGAGGGUUUCCGCCCUUCAGUGCUGCAGCUAACGCAUUAAGCACUCCGCCUGGGGAGUACGACCGCAAGGUUGAAACUCAAAGGAAUUGACGGGGGCCCGCACAAGCGGUGGAGCAUGUGGUUUAAUUCGAAGCUACGCGAAGAACCUUACCAGGUCUUGACAUCUUCUGCCAAUCUUAGAGAUAAGACGUUCCCUUCGGGGACAGAAUGACAGGUGGUGCAUGGUUGUCGUCAGCUCGUGUCGUGAGAUGUUGGGUUAAGUCCCGCAACGAGCGCAACCCUUAUUAUCAGUUGCCAGCAUUCAGUUGGGCACUCUGGUGAGACUGCCGGUGACAAACCGGAGGAAGGUGGGGAUGACGUCAAAUCAUCAUGCCCCUUAUGACCUGGGCUACACACGUGCUACAAUGGACGGUACAACGAGUCGCGAAGUCGUGAGGCUAAGCUAAUCUCUUAAAGCCGUUCUCAGUUCGGAUUGUAGGCUGCAACUCGCCUACAUGAAGUUGGAAUCGCUAGUAAUCGCGGAUCAGCAUGCCGCGGUGAAUACGUUCCCGGGCCUUGUACACACCGCCCGUCACACCAUGAGAGUUUGUAACACCCAAAGCCGGUGAGAUAACC
rnacentral:rRNA from 2 species